CUGCAGUAUUUUGACUGUACUAAGGUAGCAUAAUCAUUAGUUUUUUAAUUGAAAGCUAGAAUGAAGGGUUGGAUGAGAAAAUUAGUGUCUUUAUAAAAAUAAUUUAGAAUUUUAUUUUUAAGUUAAAAAGCUUAAAUUUUUUUAAAAGACGAGAAGACCCUAUAGAGUUUUAUAAUUUAAUUUUAUUAUAUAUUUAGAAUUUAUUAUAUAUUAUUUUUAAAUUAUUUAAUUGGGGCGAUUAAAAAAUUUAUUUAACUUUUUUUGUAUGUUUAUAUUAAUUUAUAAAUUAUUGAUCCAUGUAUUAUGAUUAUAAGAUAAAAUUACCUUAGGGAUAACAGCGUAAUUUUAUUAGAAAGUU
rnacentral:rRNA from 1 species